UCCUUCUCCAUCAGAAGAAGAUUAAGAACUACAAGAACACAACUCUUCCUGUGGAUCAUUUCGAUAUCUUUUUCCUUUCCUUUAGCUCAAGAGAAAACUAAAGAAUAUCAAAGUGCAGAUGAAAGAUGAGAGCAAACCCACUAACCUUCUUCCUCACGGUAGAUCUUCCAAGGACUCCAUUGCCUUCUGGUUCCAAGCAAAACCAGAAAAGGAUGAGAAGCAGCAACUCCCCGUAUGUCCUUCCUCGCCAGAGAGAGAGAGAGAGAGAGAGAGAGAGAGAGAUUUGUGUCUCCUCUUCACCUCUGCUUCCUUCUCCAUCAGAAGAAGAUUAAGAACUACAAGAACACAACUCUUCCUGUGCAUCAUUUCGAUAUCUUUUUCCUUUCCUUUAGCUCAAGAGAAAACUAAAGAAUAUCAAAGUGCAGAUGAAAGAUGAGAGCAAACCCACCAACCUUCUUCCUCACGGUGGAUCUUCCAAGGACUCCAUUGCCUUCUGGGCCCAAGCAAAACCAGAAAAGGAUGAGGAGCAAAAACUCCCCGAACGUCCUUCCUCGCCACACACACACACACACACACACACAGAGGCUUUCUCCUCUUAGCCUCUGUUCCCUCUUAUGCUCCACCAGGAAGAAGAACAAGAAGUAGAGAAGAGAAAGAAAGGGUUCGUUGCUCCUCUUUCGCUUCAAGAACACAACAACAAAGCCCACCCUCUCUGUCUCCUUCCUGCACAUCAUUUCAAGAAAACGGAACUGCGGAUGAAAGGCAAUAGAGAAAUNNNN
rnacentral:lncRNA from 1 species